AGGGACAAAAACACAGAUGGAUGAAAACACAAAACACUUCCUCUCUCAGUGGCAGAAACAUGUAACAGUAGCUGACGGUGCGUUCAGGUGAAUAAUGAUGAAGAUGAAGAUGAUGGUGUGGUGAACU